rnacentral:rRNA from 1 species
UCAGUGGCGAACGGGUGAGUAACACGUGAGCAACCUGCCCUUGACUCUGGGAUAACCACGGGAAACGGUGGCUAAUACCGGAUACGAGACGCACAGGCAUCUGUGGCGUCUGGAAAGAUUUAUCGGUCAGGGAUGGGCUCGCGGCCUAUCAGCUUGUUGGUGGGGUAAUGGCCUACCAAGGCGACGACGGGUAGCCGGCCUGAGAGGGCGACCGGCCACACUGGGACUGAGACACGGCCCAGACUCCUACGGGAGGCAGCAGUGGGGAAUAUUGCACAAUGGGCGCAAGCCUGAUGCAGCGACGCCGCGUGAGGGAUGACGGCCUUCGGGUUGUAAACCUCUUUCAGCAGGGAAGAAGCGCAAGUGACGGUACCUGCAGAAGAAGCGCCGGCUAACUACGUGCCAGCAGCCGCGGUAAUACGUAGGGCGCAAGCGUUGUCCGGAAUUAUUGGGCGUAAAGAGCUCGUAGGCGGUUUGUCGCGUCUGCUGUGAAAACCUGAGGCUCAACCUCGGGCUUGCAGUGGGUACGGGCAGACUAGAGUGCGGUAGGGGUGACUGGAAUUCCUGGUGUAGCGGUGGAAUGCGCAGAUAUCAGGAGGAACACCGAUGGCGAAGGCAGGUCACUGGGCCGCAACUGACGC